AUGCAAGUCGAGGGGUAGAAGGCUUCGGCCUUUGAGACCGGCGCACGGGUGCGAAACGCGUAUACAAUCUACCUAUUACAGGGGGAUAGCCCAGAGAAAUUUGGAUUAAUACCCCAUAGUAUUAUAGAGUGGCAUCAUUUUAUAAUUAAAGUUGAGGCGGUAAUAGAUGAGUAUGCGUCCUAUUAGCUAGUUGGUGAGGUAACGGCUCACCAAGGCUACGAUAGGUAGGGGUCCUGAGAGGGAGAUCCCCCACACUGGUACUGAGACACGGACCAGACUCCUACGGGAGGCAGCAGUGAGGAAUAUUGGUCAAUGGACGCAAGUCUGAACCAGCCAUGUCGCGUGCAGGAAGACGGCCUUAUGGGUUGUAAACUGCUUUUCUAUAGGGAGAAACCCCCUUUCGUGAGAGGGGCUGACGGUACUAUAGGAAUAAACACCGGCUAACUCCGUGCCAGCAGCCGCGGUAAUACGGAGGGUGUAAGCGUUAUCCGGAAUCAUUGGGUUUAAAGGGUCCGUAGGCGGACUGAUAAGUCAGAGGUGAAAUCCCACAGCUUAACUGUGGAACUGCCUUUGAUACUGUCAGUCUUGAGUUAUAUUGAAGUAGAUGGAAUGUGUAGUGUAGCGGUGAAAUGCAUAGAUAUUACACAGAACACCGAUUGCGAAGGCAGUCUACUAAGUAUGUACUGACGCUGAGGGACGAAAGCGUGGGGAUCAAACAGGAUUAGAUACCCUGGUAGUCCACGCCGUAAACGAUGGAUACUAGCUGUUGGAUCGUGAGGUUCAGUGGCUAAGCAAAAGUGAUAAGUAUCCCACCUGGGGAGUACGUUCGCAAGAAUGAAACUCAAAGGAAUUGACGGGGGCCCGCACAAGCGGUGGAGCAUGUGGUUUAAUUCGAUGAUACGCGAGGAAACCUUACCAGGCCUUAAAUGUAGAUUGCAUGAUGUGGAAACACGUCUUUCUUC
rnacentral:rRNA from 1 species